GACGAACGCUGGCGGCGUGCCUAAUACAUGCAAGUUGAGCGAUGAAGAUUGGUGCUUGCACCAAUUUGAAGAGCAGCGAACGGGUGAGUAACGCGUGGGGAAUCUGCCUUUGAGCGGGGGACAACAUUUGGAAACGAAUGCUAAUACCGCAUAACAACUUUAAACAUAAGUUUUAAGUUUGAAAGAUGCAAUUGCAUCACUCAAAGAUGAUCCCGCGUUGAAUUAGCUAGUUGGUGAGGUAAAGGCUCACCAAGGCGAUGAUACAUAGCCGACCUGAGAGGGGGAUCGGCCACAUUGGGACUGAGACAAGGCCCAAACUCCUACGGGAGGCAGCAGUAGGGAAUCUUCGGCAAUGGACGAAAGUCUGACCGAGCAACGCCGCGUGAGUGAAGAAGGUUUUCGGAUCGUAAAACUCUGUUGGUAGAGAAGAACGUUGGUGAGAGUGGAAAGCUCAUCAAGUGACGGUAACUACCCAGAAAGGGACGGCUAACUACGUG
rnacentral:rRNA from 1 species